rnacentral:tRNA from 1 species
GAGGGUAUAGCUCAGUGGUGGAGUGUGUGUUUAGCAUGCAUGAGGUCCUGGGUUCAAUCCCCAGUACCUCCA